rnacentral:rRNA from 1 species
UAGGGAAUCUUCCGCAAUGGGCGAAAGCCUGACGGAGCAAUGCCGCGUGAGUGAAGAAGGCCUUCGGGUCGUAAAACUCUGUUAUAAGAGAAGAACAAAUUGUAGAGUAACUGCUACAGUCUUGACGGUAUCUUAUCAGAAAGCCACGGCUAACUACGUGCCAGCAGCCGCGGUAAUACGUAGGUGGCAAGCGUUGUCCGGAUUUAUUGGGCGUAAAGGGAGCGCAGGUGGUUUCUUAAGUCUGAUGUGAAAGCCCACGGCUUAACCGUGGAGGGUCAUUGGAAACUGGGAAACUUGAGUACGGAAGGGGAAUGUGGAACUCCAUGUGUAGCGGUGGAAUGCGUAGAUAUAUGGAAGAACGCCAGUGGGGAGGGCGACAUUCUGGUCUGUUACUGACACGGAGGCUCGAAAGCGUGGGGAGCAAACAGG